CUGUACCGACAGCGAUAUAUUGAUGCACUUCUUAUGACAAAUGGGUUGCUUAUGAUGACAUAUUGUAAGUCGCUUUGGAUAAAAGAUUCUGCUAAAUGCCCUAAAUGUAAAUGUAAAUGUGCAUGACCCCUCCCACUUUAGAGAUGGCUCCUCCCAGCUGGUCUCAGAUCAUGUGUAUGACCCCUCUUAGUUUAUAGAUGGCCCCUCCCAGCUGGUCUGAGAUCAGGUGUAUGACCCCUCCCUCUUUAGAGAUGGCUCCUCCCAGUAGGUCUCGGAUCAGGUUUGGCAGCUUGUGGAGUAACGAGGAGAGCGACAGAGGUGAUCUGCGCAGCUAUGAGUCGAUGAGGGUGUGACCCUCUCUGAUUGGUCGAGAGGCCCAGACGUGUUGUGAAGACAGAGAGCAGGCGAAGGCAGUGUCGGAGAAUGGCGAGACAUGUGGGUUUUGACCAGAGCCCACAAGACCCGGAGGUUGGAUUGGAUUGAGGAUCCAUGGACCUGAUGCUGUAGUGGAUGUGGUAAAGGAUAAGUUAAUGGGGAAGGGAGGCACUAAUGUGCUCUGAUGAUGAAGAGUACUUUGAGGUUUUCCAGAUUGAAUACGGGUGUGAAGCUCCCAGAGUGAUCUGAGAGAUGUCUUCUUCUGGAGAUAGAACUCUUGUUGCUCUGCCUCCAUCGUGUUCAUGGACAGGUCCGUACCCGGGGAACACUCUGUACGUCUUUAUGUUUGGAUCCCAAACAACGAGUGAGAAUGAUUCUGGACACGGUGUCUGUUCCUACAGCAGCUUCAUCCAUCAGAUUAAGAAGGGGCCGCGACGGUAACAUGAGACAAUGACCCCUGAAUGGUUAUGGUAAACUGGGCCUGGACUGGUCUGAAAACACGG
ensembl:lncRNA